GCAUUGGUAGUUCAGUGGUAGAGUUCUCACCUUUCGUGCGGGAGACCCAGGUUUGAUUCCUGGCCAGUGCA
rnacentral:tRNA from 1 species